UUCAGUGCAUGGGAUUUUCAGAUCACGCCAACACAAACCCUAACCUGCGAUUACACAUCUAUCCUCCAUCUUCUCUCUUCUAUCGACACCACCAGGAGACCCUAGAAGACGCCUCCAAGUCCUCAGUUCAGGCUAGUGAUCCCCGUCAUCUUUAAUACUCGGACGUGAUUGACCAACCCCGGCCAUUAGCUAUUUUUAAGAGUCCAACCGAGCAACCAAAGGUCGUUAGGUAUUUCAGGAGCUUGCACGAGGAGGCGUGGAC